UACGUAGGUGGCUAGCGUUGUCCGGAUUUACUGGGCGUAAAGAGCGCGCAGGCGGUCGUUCAAGUCGAGUGUGAAAGCCCCCCGGCUCAACUGGGGAGGGUCACUCGAUACUGAUCGACUCGAAGGCAGGAGAGGGAAGCGGAAUUCCCGGUGUAGUGGUGAAAUGCGUAGAUAUCGGGAGGAACACCAGUGGCGAAGGCGGCUUUCUGGCCUGCUCUUGGACGCUGAGGCGCGAAAAGCUAGGGGUAGCAAACGGGG
rnacentral:rRNA from 1 species